rnacentral:lncRNA from 1 species
GACUUUUGUAGAUCCUACUUGAUUUUUGUAAAUCGGAAACCAGUAGAAUGACAUUAAUGCUUUGGGGAAAGAAAUAUGAGUUGUCAACUGUGACAAAAAGAAUAAGAACCCAGAGGAUGCAGCUUUAACAAUUCACAGCUGCUCUCCUGUGAGAGAGGAAGAUAAUGCUGUCAGCGAAUGUGCAUCUCUGAGAAAAAAGAAGAAAUAAUUCAGGGGAGAAUAAGGAGAGCAAAUAGCAAAAAAGAAAAUGAAUAAGAAUCCUAUUGCUUUUGGUUCAUAAAUUACAUUCAGGAAAAAGAACUUUUCCUCCAAUUUUGAAACAGGUGAAUUUGAAAAAAAGAAAGAACAUUUAUAUCCGCAUAAGGACAAUGCAUGGAAAAUCACGCUUGUCCCAGGAUUAGUCCAACAUUUUCUUUCAGGAAAUUUCAACAUUUUUAACCCAAUCGGUGACUUUAGUUUCUUGAAGUCAGGCUUAGGAAACACAACUCAGUACACCUGAGAGAAAACACACAUCUAAACAAAAAGGCGGUUAUUAUAAUGUCAACAGGGACAUGAACAAAAAGAGCAACAUCCUCCCAGGGGACAGCAUAAAUAUCAAAAGUGCUAAUAAGUAGAGGUGGUCUCCUUGUGGCAGAAAGUGUAGUAUGUGUAUAAUUUCUAGAUCAAAACAAAAUCAUGGCACUUAAACAGUGGCAGCACUGUUAGGUGCAUGUGAUAUUUGAAAAAUAUGACAACCAUCUCAAUCUGCUCAAGUAGCACUCAUGGUAAGGGUGAAAUUUUAUCAACAUGGGUUAACUUAUGGUGUAUUAAGAAAGUAGCAAGGAGAUAAAUUGAUGGAUUAAAAGAUAAACUACUCACAGGCAGACAAACAGAAGGACAGAUAGAGUUACAAUCAAACGUGCACUUUACUCAGACAGAAAGAUAAUAACUAGCCCCAAGAACUGACAUGUCUGCGAGGAAAACCUUGAACAUAGAAUUUUUUGACUUUGUCUUUAAUUUAGUUCUUCCGGCACCAUGCUGCAUAACCCUGGAUAACUUCUAAAAGUCUCUAUGACACAGUUAUCCAUCUGUUAAAUGAAGCCAGUAAUAUUUUCAUGUAGUUUUUUGAGGGUAAAAGAUAUACGAAAUAUUUGGAAGAGUCUAGAAGAAAUGCCCUCUGUUCAUUGGAGCCAUUUGACAUCACAUCAUUCUCUUCAGACAGAGAGACAGUGAAUGUGUGAAAUUAUGAAGCAUCCAAAUGCAUUCCCAAGGGAACUUAGGGGGCUCUUUGCUGAAAAGGAUAACUGGCUAUCUUUUGGGGAGUAAUUUAAACAUAGACUGAGGGAGGAGGGAAUCCUAUAGAUUCUGUCUAGUUCUUACUUUCUACAGCUCCUCAUUUCUCUUCCCACUUUAGGGAAAAAAAAAAAAAAAAAAAAAACGCACAAUGAGACCCACAGGAUAGAGACGGGAAAUAAGACUGUGCCCUCAGACUUUUCUUUCAACAGUACCAUGGCAUUUACAAAAGAGAGUCUGGAUUCCUCAGACAGCACAAGGUGAGAUCCUCCUUGAAGUGAACUCACAUACCAUUUUUCCUUAUAUGAACCCAUUCUCCAUGUUUUCUUAUUCUACACACAUCACAAAGGAAUAAGAGAAUUUUUGCCAGGAAACAGAAAACUGGAUUGAUUCUUCCAUUUUCACUUCUCUUGUGCUUCAUAACAUUGAGAAUCUAUACAUACAGUUACAUUUAUCUAUCUCUUCCAGGAAAGGCUAAAAUGGAGCCAAUUUUGGCUCAUUUUUGGCAAAGGGACAAACUUGAAUUGGGAAUAAUCUUUGGGAUCAGGAACAGGCCUGCUGUGAUGAAAUGGACCUUGUGGAGGCUCCCUGGCAUUCUGGCCUGGCUAACAUUCUACUAACAACAACUAGUCUAUGAUCCAGCGUUGCUCCCACAGACACAGUGUCCUUGGGAUCGUUAUCUCUCCCUUUCAUUUGCUUCCUGACAUCCCUCCAUGCAAGCUCUUCUCUAGCACAAGUCACCUCACUUAAAAUUUCAAAGGACUUUACCGCAGUAAUGGAGUAAGGGUGCUAAGUAGACAGAGAUAGGUAAGGAUAGGUAAAAUCUCAUUUGUCCUUUCAGCCUGGCACAGUUUAGCACAAUAAUCAGAUUCCUAACAGGUUUUUCUAGGUUUCACUCCCCACUCAAAUUGUAUGUUCCUGCGACGUAGAAGUUCUUAUUACUCAGUCCUGACUUGCUUCUCUCUUUGGUUCUACGGUAAAACUAUUCAAAUCUCAAUUUAGGUGUUUUAUCCUCUCCUGGAAUUUCUGGGAAAGAAUUCUUUUAAACUAGAUUCCUAACUUAUUAGGCUCAGGCCAACCUGACCACCUAAGCAUUAAUUUUCCUACUAUUCACAAACAUCCCUGAAUUUAUCUUUCUCUUUCCUGGAAUGACAGGACAAGACAGACAGGAAAAAAAGGAAUGCCCAGAACAAAUACUGGAGUUUGGUUUUCCUACUGUCUUUUAUUCAAUUCAUUCUCUUUUCUCUAACAUUUAAGACAUUUCUGACUGUCUCCAUCCUCCAGGUAAUAUAUUUCUUAUCUCUGCAGUUUCCUUUUGUUUUUUGAAAGGUUCCACAUGAAAGUUCUUAUUUCUUUCCCUUAGAGGAUUCUGACCCUCCAGUUACAGUCACCACCAGUUCAGUGUACUAAGUCUAAAGGAGGUGAAAACUCAGUACUUCGUAUAUUAAACUAAAGAUUUCCGUUAUUUGAAAACCAAGGUUUUGCUGGCAGAAAUGUCUAUUUUAAAACCCACACAGUGGAGUUCCCGCUGUGGCACAGUGGGUUGGGAGUCUGACUGCAGCAGAUCAGGUCGCUGCACAGGCCAGGGUUCCAUCCCUGGCCUGACACAGUGGGUUAAAAGAUCCAGCUUGCCACAGCUGCAGCUUGGAAUUAAUCCCUGAGCCAGGAACUUCCAUGAGCCAAGGGUGUGUGGCCAUAAAAAUAAUAUCAGCAUAAUAACUGAACUUACCCACAGUGAAUGUAGAUUCAAACAAUGAUGUAAGGUCUGAUAAGAAUUAACAAAUUCUAAUAGAUAGUCUAAAAAGACCAUACAAAAACAAUGUUUUACCCCUGGGCCUGCAGAAACAGUCAGCUCAAGGGGUUCACCCCAUUCGUCAUGUCCCUAUGGCUUUAUUUUCUCAAGUUGCCAUCAGAAACUUUCAGGGAACUCAGAUUGGUCCAUGUACAUAAAAUAUAUAAGGCAGUUGGUAUCUUAUUUAUUCCCACUAUUACAAAUGAAAUUAAACCACUGAACAUUGUAGCCUUUGGGGGCGGGGUCUCCUUUUCAGUGAUAAGCCCAAGAAAUUUCUCCAUUUUAAUACAAAUAACCAUGUUGACCUAUUUUUCCUAAUUCUGCAUAUACUGAAACUAGGUGGUUACAAACAAAACCCAGAAACAUAAUUUGCAUUCUAAUGAAAUGAUCCUGAAAUUAUUCUUUUUUACUGUGGCUUUACCUGCUGCUCUACAGCACACAUUCCUGUGGGUCUCCUGCAGGAGAUGAUUCAGUGUGGAUGAUAAUCAGUGUUGAUUGAGGAAUCCUGAAAUUGGGGAGUCUGAUUCCUAAUGAAGUCUGUAUACCCAUCUACUGCAUAAGCGCCUCUUUAUUUACAGUUUGGUAAAAAAAUUAUAGGUAGAGAUGUUGCAGGCACAUGUGCACAAAUGUUCAAACUGCUUUGAAAAAGGAAUGAGAGAGAGAGAGAGAGAGAGAGAGGGUAUCCAAGUUCAAGUCAGGCAGGCAUUUCAGAUUUCAAGAGACAACUGAAAAGGGAACAUCUGUUAGAUCCUCUGGGUUUGAAGGCAAUCUAAGUCUUGGUAUUUCUGAGUGUGUGCACAUAGUGGAGAGGGUGGAGCCUUCCAACCUCAAAUCUAAAAAGAUUGAGAGAUUUGGGAAGGCCCAGAUGUG